AUGGAUCAGAAGAUUCCACUUAUGUUGUGUCCAAGCAGGAAAGAAUGGAUAAAAAGUUUGGAGUGCGCAUUGAAGAGCCAGGAGGUCUUUUGCACAGGGUGGACUAUGAAUGCAAAAUGUGCAUACGCACCUACCAGAAAAAACCAGAUGUAUGACUAUUCGGUAAGCCUGCAGAGGUACCGCGAGUUGCGGAAUUGUAGUCACGCCGCAAGUUUCAAGGCAUGCCACUCUGAUGAGGACUAUCACCGUCUAAUUAUGCUUUUGCAAGCACAACAUCAUGGCAAGCAAUCAAGUUUUGAACAAGCUGACAGCAAGGAGUCAACUAAUGCUCAGCAUAACAACAUUAGGUUUGGCCCGUUGAUGCCGCACUCGGAGAAAGUUGAUAAGGUUCUGGAUCCCGUGGAUGUGCCAGGCCGAGGUGCACCGAAGAAAAGGCUGCAGGCAAAGACAAAGAAGUCAAGAUCACAGAAUAUCUGUGGCUAUUGUAAGAAUCCUGGUCACAAUCGACGUAAAUGCGCUAAAUUGCUAGAGAAUAAUUUUUGUGAUGUAUUUCUGCACGCACGCACGGCCGCCAGACGGAUCUCCCGCGCGAUCCCACGGUCUGCAUGGCUCAUGCAUGGCAGGCCGUCCUACGUCGACCCAAACACCGGCCCAUCCGAGGUUGCAGCUCCGGACGGCCCACGUCACGUCCCCGACUCUUGCAUGCAGGUGCCUGGUUUUUGCAUGAAGGUCCUUGGGUCGCAUCAUUGGUUGAGGAAGUAUCUCUAG
rnacentral:rRNA from 1 species